UGGGGAAUAUUGGACAAUGGGCGAAAGCCUGAUCCAGCCACGCCGCGUGUGUGAAGAAGGCCUUUUGGUUGUAAAGCACUUUAAGUGGGGAGGAAAAGCUUAUGGUUAAUACCCAUAAGCCCUGACGUUACCCACAGAAUAAGCACCGGCUAACUCUGUGCCAGCAGCCGCGGUAAUACAGAGGGUGCAAGCGUUAAUCGGAAUUACUGGGCGUAAAGCGCGCGUAGGUGGUUAUUUAAGUCAGAUGUGAAAGCCCCGGGCUUAACCUGGGAACUGCAUCUGAUACUGGAUAACUAGAGUAGGUGAGAGGGGAGUAGAAUUCCAGGUGUAGCGGUGAAAUGCGUAGAGAUCUGGAGGAAUACCGAUGGCGAAGGCAGCUCCCUGGCAUCAUACUGACACUGAGGUGCGAAAGCGUGGGUAGCAAACAGGAUUAGAUACCCUGGUAGUCCACGCCGUAAACGAUGUCUACCAGUCGUUGGGUCUUUUAAAGACUUAGUGACGCAGUUAACGCAAUAAGUAGACCGCCUGGGGAGUACGGCCGCAAGGUUA
rnacentral:rRNA from 1 species